rnacentral:tRNA from 1 species
AGUCUUAUAUUCAACAAUGAUAUUAAAUUGCAAAUUUAAUGGUGGUGAAGAGCCUAAGGCUU